rnacentral:rRNA from 1 species
AUUGAACGCUGGCGGCAGGCCUAACACAUGCAAGUCGAACGAGCGGCGGACGGGAGAGUAAUGUAUGGGGAACUGCCUGAGAGAGGGGGAUAACUACUGGAAACGGUGGCUAAUACCGCAUACUAUCGGAUGUACCCAUAUGGGAUGAGCUGGUAGGUGGGGUAAAGGCUCACCUAGGCGACGACCUCUCGCGGGUCUGAGAGGAUGACCAGCCACACGGGAACUGAGACACGGCCCAGACUCCUACGGGAGACAGCAGUGGAGAAUAUUGCACAAGGGGCGCAAGCCUGAUGCAGCCAUGCCGCGUGUAUGAAGAAGGCCUUAGGGUUGUAAAGUACUUUCAGCGGGGAGGCGUUACCCGCAGAAGAAGCACCGGCUAACUCCGUGCCAGCAGCCGCGGUAAUAC